ACGGGUGAGAAACGCGUAGGAAUCUGCCUUAUAGAGGGGGACAACUAGAGGAAACUCUAGCUAAUACCGCAUAAUGUCUGCGGACCAAAGGCUGGGUAGCAAUACCUGGCGCUAUAAGAGGAGCCUGCGUCCGAUUAGCUAGUUGGUAGGGUAAAGGCCUACCAAGGCGAUGAUCGGUAGCUGGUCUGAGAGGAUGAUCAGCCACACUGGGACUGAGACACGGCCCAGACUCCUACGGGAGGCAGCAGUGGGGAAUAUUGGACAAUGGGGGCAACCCUGAUCCAGCAAUACCGCGUGUGUGAAGAAGGCCUUCGGGUUGUAAAACACUUUAGGUUGGGAAGAAGGUGUAUUGUUUAAGAGAUGAUACAUUUGACGGUACCGACAGAAUAAGCACCGGCUAACUCUGUGCCAGCAGCCGCGGUAAUACAGAGGGUGCAAGCGUUAAUCGGAGUUACUGGGCGUAAAGGGCGCGUAGGCGGUUAUUUAAGUGAGAUGUGAAAUCCCUGGGCUUAACCUAGGAACUGCAUCUUAUACUGAGUAACUGGAGUACUGUAGAGGGUAGUGGAAUUUCCGGUG
rnacentral:rRNA from 1 species